CUUAGCAGCGAACGGGUGAGUAACACGUAGAUAAUCUAUCCUAUACUGGGGGAUAGCCCGAUGAAAGUUGGAUUAAUACCGCAUAUAGCUAUAUAGUUGCAUGAUUAUGUAGUGAAAGAUUUAUUGGUAUAGGAGGAGUCUGCGGCACAUUAGCUAGUAGGUGAGGUAAAGGCUUACCUAGGCGACGAUGUGUAGCCGGUCUGAGAGGAUGAACGGCCACAAUGGAACUGAGACACGGUCCAUACUCCUACGGGAGGCAGCAGUGGGGAAUAUUGCACAAUGGGGGAAACCCUGAUGCAGCAACGCCGCGUGAGUGAAGAAGGUUUUCGGAUUGUAAAGCUCUGUUAGCAGGGAAGAGGAAGGACGGUACCUGCAGAGGAAGCCACGGCUAACUACGUGCCAGCAGCCGCGGUAAUACGUAGGUGGCAAGCGUUGUUCGGAAUAACUGGGCGUAAAGGAUGCGUGGGCGGUUAAACAAGUUAUAUGUUAAAUAUAUAGGCUUAACCUGUAGAAAGCAUAUAAAACUGUUUAACUAGAGUGCAGGAGAGGUAAGUGGAAUUCCUAGUGUAGCGGUGAAAUGCGUAGAGAUUAGGAAGAACACCAGUGGCGAAGGCGACUUACUGGUCUGUAACUGACGCUGAGGCAUGAGAGCAUGGGGAGCAAACAGGAUUAGAUACCCUGGUAGUCCAUGCUGUAAACGAUGGGUACUAGGUGUGGGUUGUGAAUAACAAUUCGUGCCG
rnacentral:rRNA from 1 species